GAAGGCCUGUGCAGCAGAAAGGCGCUUUACUGUUUCUUUCUAUUGCAGUGGAAGAACUUUGCUCAUCUGUGGCUGUUUGGCUUUAACAACUCCAAAGACAUGUUGCUUUACCUCUUUUUACUUUUCUCUCACUUUAUAGCCCUGGGCUCCAUGGACAGCAUAAAGCCAGAGAGUAGUGUAGAACAUGUUGCAGAGGGCAGAAACAUCAACCUGACCUGUAGAUAUGAUGGUACUAUCUACAGUAUCCAGUGGUACCGACAAUACCAGAGAUCCAGACCAGAGUUCCUGCUCUACAUCACAGAGGGAGGAUUGAUUCAUUCAACUGUUUCUGAUUUCUCAGCUCACAUUGACAAGACACAGAAACGUGUUGAUCUGGAGAUCAUCUCAGCUAAAGACUCUGAUGUGUACUACUGUGCUCUGCAGCCCACAGUGACAGGAAACACCAGAACUCUGUACAAAACCUUUGGAGCAAAGACAACACAACACAACAUGGCAGAUCUGAACUUCUUCCCUCCACUAGAGGGCCACCUUAUCAAAGUGUAAAGGAGAAGACAAAGUGAACCAGCCAACAGGAGAUGUCAUCGCUACUGAAGGACACACAGUUACACUUGGCUGCACAUUUGAGACCAGUGACACAUAUCCCUAUCUGUUCUGGUACAAGCAAGAAGUAA